AGAUCUAGAUCUAGCUAUAAAUACAUUCGGAAAUAUAUAUGGAAUUUCCCAAAUUAAAAAUAGAAACAUGACUCUCAUGGAUCGGAUUAAUGGGCCCUACGUAGGAGUGGGUUCGCGGGGCGGUUAAAAAUUUGACGUAGGCAUAGGUUCUAGAAUCAAGGAAUAAUUUGGCUGAAGUCACUAAAACAGGUGAACUCUACUUCAUCUGCCCCAUGGACAACCAGGUUCAACAAAAAUGACAAUAUCAUCAACCAUGAACUUUAGGAAAGUAUCAAUAAUGCAUGGACAAUCAAUUUUAAUUCUUCAACUAAAACAAAAUUAUUUUAAAAUAAAAUCUUGAGUUAGUUUUGUAUAAACAUGUUAUUUUUUUCAUUUGUUUAUAUUAGCUAAGAUAUUUUACUUUGUGUAAUUAUUUUUACACCUAAAAUUUGAAUUCUUUGCUUUAUCCACUUAUAUUGAAUAUUUAGAAGUUGUAAAAUAUUACUAGGAAUAAUAAAGACUAAUCUUUAUGUUGCUUUUGAUUUAUUUUAGAA